UAUGUGGUGGUUACACAUUGGCUGGAGUGAAACCAUGACAUGAGGUUUUCCUAGUUUGGUGCAAGAUGAGGAGAGACAGAGCUGAGGAUGACUAUUGAUGGAGGCCAAUAUCUAAACUGCCCCUAGAAAGCAUCCUUUUGUUCCUGUCCUGAUGUAAACUCAGCAUCCUUGCUUCCUGCUUGGCCUCCCCUGCUCUGGCUGCAAGAAGAGUAAACACAGUGGAAGGAUUUGUCCUAGCAGCAAAGCUGAACAAUUGCAGCCGUGUUGAAAUCCACAAGGUUUGGGGGUUGACUGCAGUGAUUCUGACACUAUUCCAAGGGAGCCCUGAGAUUCCCAGGAUGGGCUUGUCCCUCUAGUGGCAGCAGAAAGGAAGGCGCAGAGCUCUCC